AUUUUUUCUGGAGCCAUGCAAUGUAGAUUUAGUACAUCGGAAGAUCAAGUCCAUUGCUCUCUGUGUAUCAGCAUGCCCACGUAGUGAGUUGAAAACUCUGGCUGAUGUUCAGAAAUUUGCAGAUAUUAAUGGUUCUGCUUUAUGUAGUUAUGAGUUAAAGCCAUCUGAAUACACUACACAUUUAAACGCUGCUAAGCUUUGCCCCAAGCUCCCAGUUCCAGAGAGUGCACCUAUUCCAUUCUUCCAUCGCUGUGCUCCUGUGAACAUUUCCUGCUAUACCAAGUUUGCAGAAGCCCUGAUCACCUUU